ACCAGGAUGGCCGAGUGGUUAAGGCGUUGGACUUAAGAUCCAAUGGGCUAAAGCCCUUGUGGGUUUGAACCCCACUCCUGGUA